GAUCAUCUAUUUGGCUUCUCAUCGUAGGAUCAACUCAUUGGCUUCUCGAUGCAUUAUGGGAUUAGUUGUUUGGCUUCUCAUCGUGGUAUCAAAUUUUGGGCUUCAUAAUGCUCUAUGGAAUCGUGGGAUCAACUAUUUGGUUUCUCGAUGCACUGUGGGAUCAGCUGUUUGGAUUCUCAUCAUGGGAUCAACUUUUGGGAUUCUUGAUGC
rnacentral:lncRNA from 1 species